CCAAAACCUUAUUUGAAGUCAUUUCAUGUUGCCAUCCUUUUCCCUAAUGAUUUUGGAUCAUUGAUCCUACUUCUCCAAUUCCCAAAGUUUGUUUGUGGUAUAUUGAUUGAUAAGAACUAGAAGAAAUCCAUUAUGAAGAAUUCAGGGGCAUGUAAAAAUGUCUAAAGAACUAAUGGGGAUAAGAGGCUGAUAAAUUCUAUAUUUUCUUCCCAUCAGAAAUUUUAUAAAGAAAACAAAUUGGGGAAAUGAAAAUUUGCUAACACUAAUUUCUGAGAAAACCAAGAGGUAGUUUAAGAAAAUAGAUCACUAUUUAAGUUUCAAGGGUACCUAAAUGUCUCAGCACAAUGUCUGGGAGGAGAAAUAAUGAGUUCUGUUUUGGAUAUGUUGAGUUUUCGAUGUUUCUGGGACAUUCCUUUUGAAAUGUCUAACAGGCAAUUGGUGGUAUAUGACUAAAACACUUGGGGAGAUUGGAGAGGGAUCACACAGAGCUGAUAAUUAUACCCGUAGGAAUUGAUGAAGUCCCUGAGCAAGAAAGAAAGAAUAUAUGCCCUAGGGAAUACUCAAGAGUUAGGGUGCUUGAAAUGGAUGAUGAGACAGCAAAGGAGAUGGAGGAGUGGCUAAACAUGUAGGAAGAGAAACAAGAAUUAUUGCCACAAAAACCCAAAUUAUCUAGAAUAAGAGGAAGGUCAAACUGUCAAAUGCAACAAGGGGGUUAAUUGGGAUGAGGAAUGAAAUAAAAAAGACUAUCAGAUUUGGCAGUGGAAAUGCCUACACUAGGUGCUACUGUCUGGCAAGGUGAAAAAGUAUUCCUUGCCUUUGGAAUUGGGCAUUUGGCCAACCCACCCAAAUUACCCUUUUCUUCUGCCAUCUUAUGGCCCAGAGUGCCUGACCUUCCCUCGGUUCUAUCCCCCAUUCUGGAGGUCAGAAGCUUCACUGAGGCACCUGUUUGUUUUACAUCUGCUGAUUAUCUUGCUUACUCAAGACUCAGUAUCCUAAUGGUAAGUGAUUCCAACUCACAUGGCUCAUCUAUCUCUGGUAUUUAGUGACUCUCAAGUUAUUAAUUAGAAGACGUAAAUCAUAAGAUUAUCUGAGAAUUACAACCUAGAGUGCCCAAAAAGAGGGUGAAACCCUAAUACACCUUUUCAUUAUGCACUGGAGAAAUCCAACGCAGACCAAUAAAUGUUCUGACUUUAGAUACAGGUUACUAGCAAUGUUAAUACUGGCAUUAUCUUCCUCUGUGGCAUUCAGUUUUGGAGGCAUAUUUUAAAAAACCACUAGUUUAAUAUGUCUAAAGGUGAGAUUUCAUUAUUUAAUUUACUUUAACAAAAAAAAAAACUCCAUGUAGGUUCCUCAAAGAAACAAAGCAUCACUAACCUUUAUUAUUUCAUCCGUUAAUUUUUAACUCUGUACCUGUUAACUUCUGAAAUGAAAGUUAAAUAUUUAUGCUUUGGCUUCCUCUAAUUUUAACAACUCUAAAACUAAAUCAAAAUUCCUUCUAUAUUUCAUAAGCUUACCAACUAAAAUAUAUAACAAUGUUCAUAAUUCAAAACAUACAUGCAAAAUAUUUCCACCCAAUGCAUAAUGAAGGGAUUUAUUCACUUUGCACAUUCUCUGUUAGCCUCAUCUCUGCCUUGAUGAUCAGUGAAGAAGUUGAAUUGUCACCAUAACCUUACUCUACUUUGAGAAUUGUUUCUGGCUGGUUGUAGGGGGAUAGAUUAAAAACCAUCUUAGAAUGGUGGCUAUCUUCAUUCUGUAGAGUGGCACCAGCUUCCUUCCAUCAAAUAGUUAAAUACAGGAAUUUUGUGUGUUUGCCUUUUGAGAUCAAUUUGUCUGUCUUCCAGAAAUAAAUGGUGUGGAAAGAAUAUUGGCCUUGAGACCUGGAAGUCCCAAGUUAAAAUUCAAGCCUUUGAUACAUACAGGCUGUAGGGCACUGGACUGAGAGACUUUGCUUACACUACUUGAUAAGUUGCUUUAUGAAACCCCCAAAUUUCCUUUUGUCUCAUGGGAACUUGCCUUCAAGGAACUCCCAAACUGACCCCUUAUCCCAGACUGAAUAUAAGCCAUUAAGCACCCUGAAAGGAAUAAUACAGAUACUCAAACCUUAAGUACUCUUUUGGCUUAGAAGUUUUUCCAAUUGUAUGUAGACUUCUCUUGGGGAGUCCAGCCCCUGGCUGGAUUCCUCCUGUCUUAGCCUCCAUGUAAGCCAAUCAGUUCUUCUUCCUUUUCCCUAAUUCCCCAAAGUGUAUAUCCAGCCCCAAAUUCUUCAGUUUGUCAGAAUUUCUCAUGAUGCACAUUCCCGAGACAUUGUUCUCAGAGUCUCAGAUCCUAGAUGGGCAUGGUAGUAUUGGUUUGUGUGUGCACAUGACUCUGUGGUGGCCAUAAAGACCCUAUCUCCAUUGUCCUGAUUAAAGACAUGUUCUUCUUAACUACUUUAGUAGUUCUGUGUUUUUCCAGGUUGGCAUAUUUGGAGGUUCCAUAGAGCUGCAGGAACCCAUUGAGAUCCAGUCCAGACUCAACUUGGCAGAUUGCUUGGGUAAAUGAAACUCUAGACAAUGAAUAUGUACAUUUGGGAGACUAAACCACUCUUUAAUCAGAAGUUUGUUGAACUAUGGGCAGUCACAGGUCUGUGCCUGCCCCAGCAAAUCUCCUGGAGGGAACUAUUGCUGCAUAUAUGUCCAUAAAUUAUGGACCAGGUACCUGUAGGUAUUUAGAUAAAUGGAAAAAGUUAACUAAAUCUGACUCUAAGAAUGGUUGGCCAAAAUGGGGCUCUUUGAUGGCAAAAAGAUUAUAUUUUUGCAGUCCAUCCUAAACUCUACAGGUCCUGCGAUUGAGGACACUGAAUGGGAAGCCUUCAAUCAAUGGCUCCUUGAGGUGACCAGGAAACAAUCACAGUCAGACCAAUCCUUGGGUCCAGAGAAAGGUAAGAGCAUGAAAAGGUAAGUAAAGAAGGAAGUAAGAUCUGUCCAAGUGAAGUCAGAUUGCUAAAUUACAGAAAGUAGAUGAACUUAAGUAACUCUUGGAAAAUGCUACCUCCUCCUAAGAGUCCACCUAAACCUCCCAGGUCACCUGAUGUCCCAAUUCCCCAGUUUCCUUUUAAGAUCAAGGGAAAGGAAAGAUGCCACAGUACUUUAGGCAUUUUUUACUCCUUGUAUGAAGGCUGAAUUCAUAGCUGUGGCUAAGGAAUUUCCAAAGGCUAGAGAGAACUCUAUGGAAUUUGCCAGAAAAUUUGAAGUCACUCUUUUUACCUACCAGCCUGCACUCUCUGACCUCUAUCAGCUAGCCCAAGUGAGGCUCAUUGGUUUCAAACAGCCCAGUGGGACAAUCCUCUUGAGCACACAAGACAUUCAUUUAUUGGCUGGAAAGGAUGGGCCUGAGACACACCUCCAAAAAACUCAGAUGGUUGGGGAAGCUUUGCUGGAAGCUAUUCCCAAGACUUUCCCUAAGUCUGUGAACUGGGAAAAAAUUCAGUCUUGCACUCAAAAUAUAGGAGAGUCUGUUUUUGAUUUUUACAACAGGUUUUUUACUACCUUUAGAACAAAUUUCUUUCUCUUACCCAACAGCUCUGAUGCAUUAGUCACCUUUACUUCUUUCUAUGUGGCAGAACUAACUAAAUACCUUGUGAACCUUAUUAAGGGAGGGAAAGUAGAUUGGUAUAUAACACCCACUUCUGACUUGAUUUAUUUAGCUACUAAAGGUCAACAAAUCCUAGUGGAAGAGAAAGAGACUGAAGAAGAAAAUCAGAAGAAUGAGAUAUUGAACCUGCAGCUGCAACAACUAAAGCUAAGGAAAAAAGAGCCUACUUAAUCCUUUGUUUCUAGACCUUUUCUUUCCAGGUAUUCAGCUGAGUCACUACAGGAUGAAUAGUGUCAUUACUGCCACAGUUCAGUCAUCUAAAGAAAGACUGCAAUGAGCUGCAAUGAGGGUCUCCAAGAGACAGAGCAAGAAAACCCAGAUUAUUCUUGGUACACACAUGGGUCCUAUCUUCAAAAUGACACCAAGGAUCUAAUGGCUGGACAUGCCAUCACCACCACUAAGGAAGUCAUUGAAGCAGAACCCUUACCUUUGGCAUCAUCUGCAAAUUGGCAAAAGGAAAACAGUCAGUUUCCAGGAAUUCUGAUUUGAACACAUCUGACUCUGGAGUGGUCCACUCAGCCCAUCAGUGAUUCAAAGAUCCUACUGACCAGGAGAAAGAAGCAGAAGACUACUGAACUGACAAUGGAACUGUUCGAGAACCUGUCUAUUAUAUAGGAAGCUUCUACAAAAGAAGGACACUAGAGCCUACAUAUGGACCUCAUAGGACUUGAAAAACACAAGAGUCCAUGGGAAAUGGGGUAUUUUUUUCUUGUUAAGAUUUUGCCAAAGGUGGAGUUCCCAUCUUCUGGCUGACUAUCAAUAUGUUGUGACUGAUGAGGAUUGCCCCUGAAAGCAAACUGUCGGUGUUUAGUCCCUUUGUCUCCCUUCCACUGUUGGUAACAGAGGAUCCAACACUGCUGGGCACAUUGUCCUUUGUUCCUUUGUUAUGGUCAGUGGUAGAAUCACUGUGACCAGAAGGGGGAAAAACAAGAUGCUUUAUGACCCCCCCCCAAAUUUACCCGUUUGUCCCAUGGGAGCUUACCUUCAUGGAGCUCCCAACCUGAUCCUUGCCCCAUAUUGAACAAUAAGGCAUCAAGCACAUAUUAAGCACCCUGAAUAGGAAUGGUAGAGACACUCAAACCUUAAGCACUCUUUUGGCUUAGAAGUUUCUCCCACUAUGUCUAGGCCUCUCCCCUGGCUGGAAUCCUCCUUCUCUUGUCUUCAUGUAAGUCCAUCACUUCUCCUUCCUUUCCUUUACUCCCCAAAAUGUAUAUUGGCCCCCAAGUUCUUCAGUUAAUUUGAAAUUCCCAUGAUGGACGUUCCUAUUGUUGGUACAUUUUCCCAGAGACAUUGUUCUCAGAGUCUCAGAGCCUUAGCUGGGUAUGGUGGUAUUGGUCUGUGUGUGGUGGCCAUAAGGACCCUGUGUCCCUUGUCCUGAUUAAAUAAGACUUGUUCUUUGUAACUACUUUAGUGGUUCUGUGUUUUUCCAGUUUGACACCCUAGAGUUCCCUACACAUAUGACCUCAUGUGUCUAGUGUCUAUCCCUGGGCCCAAGAGUUAAUUUCUUGCUCCAUUCUAAUGCAGAAGACUGUUUCACUGUCCCCUUGACAUUCACUCUAAUUCUCCGACCUCAGCCUCUGUUCUCCUGCUACAACUUUGCCUCUAACCUAAUCCAGCAGUUGUUUCUGACUAACACAUCUGAUUGAAUACAAUGCCCCAAAUUUUGAGUUUGUGGACUCUACAAGUGUGGUGCACAUAACCCUUCAUUUCUAAAACUAGGUCCACCUGACAUAGUCAGCUCUGAAAUGAUAGAGGGCAGAAUUCUUGCAAGUACUAACCUUGAUUAAAAGCUGUACUCAAUAUCUAGUAAAUACAUAGCUAGAGCUACAAAUAAGGCACACAAAUUGUACUCAUUUGAGAAGUUUAUGUUUAAAAAAUCACUUUUCUUCUCAACUUGGUUCGGAGUCUUUGGCACUAUUCUUUGUGAGUGCUUAAGGAAAUAAAUAUAUUUUUAAAUUAAUGAAUGAAGUCUGCUGCUCCCUAGUGGAAUGAGAUGUCGUUUCAUAGGACAAGGAAAAAACUAAUCCCUAAGAAUUGGGAUUGCAUACAUAAUCUAAUCUACCUUUAUUACCCCAUACACAGCUUUAAUUCAGAAGGACAAGGAAACUAAAGUGAUUGAAUAUGGAGAAUGCUGGGAUGUUCACAAGUAUGGGCUAGGAUAUCUCUACUAGAUCAUUAGAGCAGUGACCAUAUUUACCUGCUACUAAAACAUAAAAUAAAACCAUCAGAUGACUGGGUUUUUGUCCAGAUGUUUCCAAACAAACAUCUAUUACAUAGACAGACCAUUUGGCUGGUUGUUGGAAGGUUUUUCUCUCUUCACCCAGAUACUUAGAUACUACUUUGCACUGCUUGUACCUUGGAAUCAGAAUCACAGAAGCAGAAGAGGAUUUAAAGGUCAACUAGUUCAACCUAUUUGUGGCAAAAUGCCUUCUGCAACAUAUCCGAUGAACAGUUAUUUGGCCUUUGCUUGAAAGACCCUCUAGGGCAAACUACCAUCUCUAAAGGCAACCACUUCCGGCUUUGGAGAACUUGGGCCUCUUCUACCCACCUAAUUUAAUGGAUUUAAGGCCAAGUAAAAUAUUUAAUUCAUAUUCUAUGUGACAACUCUUACAACUCUUAUGCCUUCCCCCAAUCACCAAAUGGGUAAUGUAUUGGACAUGGGAUCAUGAAGAUCUGCAUUCAAUCCAACCAUAGAUAUAUACAAGCUGUAUGGCCCUGAGCAAGUUAUUUAAGCCUCCUAAGUCUCAGUUUCCUCGUUUGUAAAUCAGCAAUAACAGUAGUACCAGUCUCACAAGAGAUUUUUUAAGGAUGAAUUGGUAUUAUAUAUAUAGGGUAUCCCAACACCCUAUAUUCAAGUAUGCUGUACUAUAUAACAGGCUAUCACCAUUAUCCUGGCCUCCUCUUUCUGGCAUGAUUAAGGCAGGAACAGCCUAUGUUUAGAACAAAUUGCUAUCCUGCUCUUAUCCUUUAUAUUCAGUGCUUUGUAGAAUAUUGUACAAGUGGAUAAAACUACUCAUUUUUGUAAUCAAAUUAAGGUAUUAGGAGGUAGGGUCAUCCUCCUCUGUAGGCUUUCUGAAAACAUUUUCAGGACAACUCCAAUAGCAGCCAGGAUAAUAAGAGAAUA